CUCUCUUGACGUCAGUCACUUUCCACUAAUGCUUAGUAUAUUUUUUAGUAGAUUUGAGUAACCCACACUUAUCUAUUAGCAUAUUUGAUUUACUCAUAUUUAAUCAUUGAAAUGUAAGUUAAAAAUUAAUUAUAACAUUUUUAUGUUUGACAAAUAUGGGUAUAUACAAUCUUUUUUUCAGAAUUUGACUUUUUACCCACGUAUGUACUUUAUCUGACUAAAAAGCAUGGGUG
rnacentral:lncRNA from 1 species